AUCAGACUUUAUUAUUGAACUAAGCAGGAUUUAGACAGGAUUAGAAAGAAAUGUGCAUCUUCUUUUUGCCUUUCCCCAAUGAUCAGGGAUCUCCUGGUUGUGUCUGGUGCUGCAGUGCUCUUAUUGGGUAAAACACCUUUAAAUCUAGUGGCUGAGCACAUAAAAGACAACCUCCUGAUGAUAUAAUAUGCAAAAAACGCCACCGCACGUAUUUUACGCGAGCGCACGUUUUUUACACCAGCUGUGUGAAGCUGACACCCCACCCACGUCAAAAAAUUCAGCAAAUAGUCUGAAUGGUUAGUGCUCCGUUUGUGCAGACAUCCACCCUGAUAAAACAAGGCGGAAGUUUCCCAGACUGGUUCCCAAGUAGCACACGGAAGCAUUCGUUGAUGUACGUCUUCAGAUCAGGGUAAGGAGUGAAGGCCUUCACCAAUGCACCAAGAAUAGCCAGAGAAAAGUCACUCACGGCUUCCUUUGGUACAGCAGCACCCGUACGAAGCCAUUCUGUCAGCCAUGUUGCAAUAGCAUUAAUGUCGUGUCUCUCUGACAGCAUUUGCACAACUGGGACUGAGGAAUUGUCCCCUGUCAGAACGCCCUGAUAAAGGAAGAUGUGGCCAGAUGUACCAUUUGGUCUCACAAGUCUUUUCACAACCGAGCCUGUUGCAUCAAAGCAAACUACAGAGGGGCAUUUUUUGGACAAUGCUCUAUACACAUGGAGCUGAGUUGGACUCCAAUAGUGGCAGAAGAACUUGUCUAGACCAAUGUCUCUUAUACAACCACUGUGAGGUGUGCUAUAUUUUAGCAAUUGCAAAGACAAAAUUGGAUCUUUGUCACCUAAUUCCAAAUCUCUUCUCUCUUGCUUUGCUUUUCGUAGGGUCGCCAAAUUUGGUAGGUGACUUGGCUCAGGAUCUCCAAUAUCCAUCAAAUCUGAUGCCUUCGCUGACCUCCAUACAGCCGGCUCCAUCCUGCCCUCACACAGCUCUUUUGAAAUCUGUGCACGAAGGUCUCCAGACAUGAACCUCUUGGAACGGCCAGUGUGCAGGGAGAUAUCAGUGUCUUCGAUGGAACACUCGAGAACCAUUGGGCUGUUGACUGUUGGUUCUCUGGCACAUGUCAUUUUAACAUGGCCUUGACACUCUUUACAGAAGCCCUUAAUGUCUAUGUAGUUGCUGGUUCUAGAUGAAUAAACUUUUGCUCUCUGGAACACAAAUGUGCAUGUACUUUUAACUUUUUUCCAGAUCAGGUGGUUGAGUACAUGACUCCAAGUGCCUGGCUUCAAAAUCAGAUAUUCCCUUUUGCCGGAUGAUGAAAACUUGUCAUUGUAUUGUACUUUUUCAGGUACAAAUUUCAUCUAUUCCUCAAAAGGGACUUCAAGCUGAAAAACUGAGCAGCUGUCCAGUCCAGGAGAAAUGGAGCCAGAAUCAAACUCUGUGUCCACACUGCUCUCAGGAUCAGUUUCCUGCUCAUUGAUCUCCAAACAUGACCAGAUGUUGUGUCUGUUUAACUUUACAAAAGUGUACAGGGCUUUUGGAGACAUCUUAUUUUCCAGCUGCUGACUUAGUUCUCUCCAAAUAGUGGCAGCUGGAGUGGCUAUUUUGCCAUUUAGAAAGAUGGCCUCUUUUGAAGUGCAGAGAACUGCAAAAAGGGAAUCCCUGUCUACGGAUGGCUGUCGAGGCAUCUAGUUAAAGAAUAAAAAGACUGAUUAGCAUUAAAUCAAACAUGCUGGCCUAUAAUAUCUGUCAUGCCAUGAAAAAUUAAUAUUAUAGAAUUGUUACAACUCGAAACCUUAGUCGUCUUACGUAAUUCUAGAUGGCAUUUAUGCAUUUUUACUACUUGUUAAUGUUCAAUUAAAGUAUCAGUUCAACUUUAAAAAUGUGUCUUAGCUCUGGAGUCUACAGAUGUGCCUAAUCACCUAAUCAUUGUGAAGCCUUGCAGAAUGUUUCAAGAAAUUCAAGUCUGGACUUAAAAUGUAAUUGAAUUGUGGAUUUCCAGAAAUAUGCAUUGCAGUGUAUGAAAUUAACUUCCUGAUCCCCUGGCCAAGUUAGCUAAAUAUGACAUAGUUGUCAUGUGCAAGUGUGACUAAAAAUAACUUAUUUGGUGCUAGGAUUUACUCCCAUGUGGCAGCUAGCCCUGUAUGUAUGGCAUUUAACCAAGAAUAUCCCACUAUUUAUUCUCUUACCUUGUUCCAAAAAUCUCAUUUGACAGAUGUCCAAAAAAUUCCAAGAAUGUCAAUUUUAAGCCAAAAAAUAAAUAAAUAAGACUAUUCAAAGUUUUAAAGGCUAAUGCUCUUGCCGCCUAGACAAGAUCACUGGCUCACUGGGUGGCGUCACUCCCUAUGGCAUUGCGUGAGAACUUCAUAUAUAAACUUGCAGAAUCUUAAAAAAAAAAAAAAAAAAAAAAAAAA